rnacentral:rRNA from 1 species
UCUGCCCAGUAGUGGGGGAACAAACUCCGAGAAAUCGGAGCUAAUACCGCAUACGGUCUGCUCGGAAACGAGCGAGACUAAAGCUUAGCAAUAAGCGCUAUUGGAGGAACCUGCGGCUGAUUAGCUAGUUGGUGGGGUAAAAGCCUACCAAGGCGAUGAUCAGUAGCUGGUCUGAGAGGAUGGACAGCCACACUGGGACUGAGAUACGGCCCAG